rnacentral:lncRNA from 1 species
UUUCUUUUGUAAUCUUCUAUUUUUAUUUUUACUUUUAUUAUUAUUUUUUUAUUUAAUACUCUUUGAUUAAUAUUUUUAAUAAAAAAUAAAAUUCCCAUUGUUUUGUGUACCUUUAUUUUUUACUUUUUUACUUUUUUUCUUAUUUUUUUAAUACCUUUGAUUAAUUUUUUUAACAAAAAUAAAUCAAUUUUUUGUACUUUUUUCUUAUUUUAUUUGUACACUUUAACAAGUAAUAGAAGAGUAAAAAAAUAAAAAUAAUAUAAUAAAAAGUAAAAUAAUAAAAAAAAUAGAAGAGUACAAAAAGCAAAAAAAAUAAAAAAAUAACAAAAAAGAGAUUUAUUUUUUAUUAAAAAAAUUAAUGGAAAGGGUAUUAAAAUAAAAAAAUAACAAUAAAAAGUAAAAAAUAAAAAAAUAAAAGAGUACAAAAAAAAGAAAAAAUAAAAAAGCGGGAUUCAUUUAUUGUAAAAAAAAAGUAAUCAAAUGGUAUUAAAAAAAUAAUAAUAAAAAGUAAAACAAUAAAAAAAUAGAAGAGUAACAAAAAAUUAAUAAAAAAAAUAACAAAAAGUGGAUUCAUUUUGUUAAAAAAAUUAAUUCAAAUGAGUAUUUAAAAGAAAAAAGAAUAAUAAAAAAUAAAAAUAAAAAAAUAGAAGAGUACAAAAAGAAAAAAUAAAAAAAAAUUUAUUUUUUAUUAAAAAAUAAUCAAAAAGUAUUAAAAAAAAACUUAUUAAUUAAAAAGUAAAAUAAAAAUAAAAAUAAAAGGGUGUUAAAAAGAGAGAGGAGAGGGAGGAGAGAGAGAGAGGAUGGGAUGAGAGAGAGAGAGUGGGGGUGGAAUUUGGUAAUCUUGUAAGGAAAAAAAAAGGGAGAGUGCGGAAAGAGAAAGAGAAGGAAAAGGGGGGGGUCAAGGGUUGGGAGGAUAAUUUUUUCAAAAACUCAGGAGAGGUCUUUGUAAUUUUUUAAAACCAGGGGUGCUUUUGUGUAUUAAAAGCAAACUUAGAGGAGUCAGUGUUAAUUUUCUCCCUAAACUAAAAGGACCAAUGAAUUGACACUAUGACAAUUGACGGAUAACUUUUCAUUAUAUUCUCUCUCCACUCCCCACAAGUCUCCAUUUUUUUUAAUAAAAUAAAUAACUUUAUAGUAAAUAAUUAAAUAAAGUCUAUAAUAAAAAAUAUUAAUUAAAUGAACAACAUAUUUUAAAAAUAUAAAAAAUAAUUUUUUUUCUAGAACCAAAACUAAAUAACAAUAUAAUUUUAGAAAACAUGACUUUUUUUAUUUUAUAAAAUAAAAAUUAUAUUGUCAAAUAAUGUGCUUCGAUAGAAAAAUAUUUUUUCUUGAAAUGAAGCUAAAAUAUGGUUCUGGUCUUUUCAUCCCCAAGAUUCUAUGGCUGUGAGAAUAAAAUUUUCUUCUCACGACUUGAUAAUAACCUCUCUGAUUGUUUGCAAUUUCUUCUCACCGACUUGAUAAUAACCUCUCUGAUUGUUUGCAAUUUUUAAAGAGAGAUUCUAAAUUCUGGUUAUUAAAUAUAAGUUAUUAAAGUAUUUUUAAUUGUCAUUUUGUGUUUGUUAAAAAAUAUUUAAAUAGUUUUUCUUAUAAAUUUGUCUAUAAUGCCCUUAUCAUUAAUUUAAUAAAAAAAUAAAUAUAAUUUACUUUUUAAAUUAAAAAUAAAUUACUAAGCAAAAAAUGUUAUAUGUUUAUGAAAUUUAAAAAAAAAAGAAUUAAACGAUAGGUGACGAUUUGUCGCAGGCAGAAAGACAGUGACUCUAGUGUGGGGUUGAUUUUCAGUAUAUAUAUGUGUGAAAGAGAAAGAGAUGAGAGAAAAAUCUAAAAAAUAAAGAGUCGUAUUAGUUGAUUAUUUAUUAGAGUAUAUUUAUAAUUAAGUCAAGCAAGCAUGAAAUAUUUUGACAUUUUAUUUUUAUAAUUGGAUAACAGUAGAAGCCGAAGCUGAAAAGUAUGAGUUAGGUAACUUCCAAAAAAUAGUUAUUUGACUUCUCCAAAAGCUAAAAAAAUUAUUUAUGUUAAAAGAGGCAAUCACAAGCACUCUAAAAGUUCUCUUCGGUUUUGUAUGUAAUUUGGUUUUGAUCACCUCUAAAUCACUCAAGCUAUAUUAUACGUGAUUUGAUUUUUAUUUUGUUUGUUUUCUCUAUAAAAAAAAUAAUUAUAAAUUUAUUUGUUUUUCUUACUUCGGAGUUUGGCUUUGGGGCAGGGAUGGGGGUAAAAAAAAAUUUCCGUUUGAGAUCGGGGCAAGGACAGGAAUUGUAAAAUAGGACGGGAAUACCAACCUCCGUUCCCGCCCUACUCUGUUCCGCCCGCUCCAUUGCCAACUGUAAAACACGGCGGGGUGGGAUUUAGAGUUGAAUGAUAAUCUCCGAACGGAAUAUGAUGAUGUCAGCAAUAAAAUACAUUUAAUUAUCAAAUUUACCCCAUUUGUUACGUGUUCAGCUCAACACCACAUAUCAUCUCUCGAUACCCCUCUUUUGGGUCUCACUUUUGAUCUCGUACUGAU